AACGAACGCUGGCGGCGUGCUUAACACAUGCAAGUCGAACGCGAACGGGACUUCGGUUCCUAGUAGAGUGGCGCACGGGUGAGUAACGCGUAGAUAACCUGUCUUCAUAUCCGGAAUAACACGCCGAAAGGGGUACUAAUACCGGAUAUUCUUGCAUUUCACAGGUAAGGCAAGGAAAGGUGGCCUCUGAUUCAAGCUACUGUAUGAAGAGGGGUCUGCGUACCAUUAGCUAGUAGGUGGGGUAAUGGCCUACCUAGGCGACGAUGGUUAGCGGGUCUGAGAGGAUGAUCCGCCACACUGGCACUGGAAUACGGGCCAGACUCCUACGGGAGGCAGCAGUGAGGAAUAUUGCGCAAUGGGGGCAACCCUGACGCAGCGACGCCGCGUGAGUGAGGAAGGUCUUCGGAUCGUAAAGCUCUGUCAAGAGGGAAGAAGUGCAAGGCAGCGAAUAACUGUUUUGUUUGACGUACCUCUAA
rnacentral:rRNA from 1 species